UACGUAGGGUGCAAGCGUUAAUCGGAAUUACUGGGCGUAAAGCGUGCGCAGGCGGUGAUGUAAGACAGUUGUGAAAUCCCCGGGCUCAACCUGGGAACUGCAUCUGUGACUGCAUCGCUGGAGUGCGGCAGAGGGGGAUGGAAUUCCGCGUGUAGCAGUGAAAUGCGUAGAUAUGCGGAGGAACACCGAUGGCGAAGGCAAUCCCCUGGGCCUGCACUGACGCUCAUGCACUAAAGCGUGGGGAGCAAACAGG
rnacentral:rRNA from 1 species